AUACAAACGCAAAAGCAGCAGCAGUAACAACAACAACAGAAAACAGUUUUGUUAGAUAAAUGGCCUUGGGCAAAAGUCUUUAUAACUGCAAUAACAUAAGUUAGUGGAAACAGUGUCAGGCUUUCCCAGAUGGAGACAAUAUAGUGAGAUUAUUCACCCAGUGUUUAUUCACAAGAUUGACCGAAGCUUAUUUAGAUGACCAAAUUAUGAACAAUGACCCACCCUGAGGCUGUAAGAGUGGGCCUGAUGAGAGAAUGCGUACUUGAAGCAGUUAUAGGACUUAAUAUAUUCAAGAAGACCAAGCGAUCCUUAUAGGACUACAUGCAAAGCAAUGUACUCCAGACCGCACAACUGGACAUACAGAUUGUGCCCUGAUGCCAUCUGCCCCAUUCUCCCAGCCUCAUCUUCCCUCUCUAUGCCUAGCUUCACAUCGGUUGGCUCUUCUUUGGCUCUCUUCAUCCCGUCUGCCUGCCUCGCUGCUCUCCCUGAUAACAUUUCCUGACUGAUGCCUUGCACUCUGACUCUUUCUGCAAGGUGCCAUUCUCAGCAGUGACUCAAUUUAGUGCCACCCUGCUGCUUGGCAUUGCACUUCUGAGGUCAUCACCAUCUUUCUUCAGCCAACCAAAAUGAUUCUCACCAACCACCCCAGCUCUGCUAAGCUUGAUGUUGGAGGUCUGCUGUUUUUGAAGCAGGGGACCACUGUCCAUUAAAGGCUUCAUAAACCAUUUAACAAAAUCACAUAAGAUAGGGUAGUUCAUACUCCAUGCGAUGUGCCAUACAAUGGAAGGACCAUGUUCCUUAUCACAUCUGGAUACUGCAAAGCUCCUGUCUCCUCAACAAUUUACGAACUAAUCAAUUAUUAAAUGAAGAAAUGCUAUGGAAAAGCAAAGAUAUUUCUUCCUGUGGAGUUUGAGUCUUAAAUUUAGUAAUUACUGUUUAAUGGCAUAAAUAAAA